CUUGCUGACAGAAAUGGUCUAGUGAGCCCCUGCUCACCCUCUCAAUUUAGCAUGGAAAUUGGAGCUUCCAGCUGAUUAUUGUUGAACGGUGAGAUAACGAGAAGCAAAACAAGGGAGAAGUUGAGUUGGCGAGUCAGCGCCUUCAUAGAACAGUGCUGCAGGUGGACUGCCAUGGAAAUUGUUAUUUGCUGGGGUUUAGAAUUGGUAAUGCCUGAAUUUUAUAAUGUUUGUUGUUGCUUUGUUUUGUUUUUCCUUAGGAGGUGGCAAAGUGACUAAUAAAUGUGGGCAUGGUGUUUGUGAUGGGAGCUGCCGCGGCACAGUGCAGUGGAGCGCCUUGCCUGAAGUUGCUCUGCAAAUCCAUCACAGAGCCUGGAAUGAAAUCCACUGCAUUUGAGCAAUGUGGGAAGUGGCACAGCAGGCAGAAAUGCCUAAUGCACAACAAGCUGAAAAGAAAAUCCAGGAAAACUGGUUGUUACCUCAGAAAUAAAGGUCUCAUGGACUUCAACACAGGUUUUCAAGUCGCCUCACCCAGCCUUGUCCCUGGAGGAUGUUCAGUGGAGGGAGCUGGGCAUGGGGACGUGGUGCUGGGGUGUCCCCAGGAGAGCCAGGCAGUGUGGCCAGAGCCCUGGGAGCCAGCCCUCGGCACCCCACCACUGCAGCUGCAAGCACCAGAGACUUGUAGUCAUUUACCAUCAACCCGUAAGAACUGCGGAGAGCUGCGCUUCCAUUGCUGUUCUUUGUAA
rnacentral:lncRNA from 1 species